rnacentral:rRNA from 1 species
AGAAUCAACGCUGGCGGCGUGCCUAACACAUGCAAGUCGAACGAGAAAGUGGAGCAAUCCACGAGUAAAGUGGCGCACGGGUGAGUAACACGUGACUAACCUACCCUUGAGUGGGGGAUAACCUAGAGAAAUCUGGGCUAAUACCGCAUAAUACCUUCGGGUCAAAGGAGCAAUUCGCUUAAGGAGGGGGUCGCGGCCGAUUAGUUAGUUGGCGGGGUAAUGGCCCACCAAGACUAUGAUCGGUAUCCGGCCUGAGAGGGGCGCGACGGACGACGACUGGAACUGAAACACGGUCCAGACUCCUACGGGAGGCAGCAGUGGGGAAUUUGCGCAAUGGGGGAAACCCUGACGCAGCAACGCCGCGUGGAGGAUGAAGUCCCUUGGGACGUAAACUCCUUUCGAUCGGGACGAUAAUGACGGUACCGAGAGAAGAAGCCCCGGCUAACUUCGUGCCAGCAGCCGC